rnacentral:lncRNA from 1 species
AAGAUGCAAAAUAGCACGGAAGAAACAGCCUUUGCAAAGAGUAAUCCCCACUGAUUGGCAUGAAGCGGGUAUGUAUUCUUUCCAUAAAUUUGGGGUAAGAUUAAAUUACAAGAGGCCUAAAAGGAAAGAUUAAAACAAAACAAAAAAAAAAGCCUAACUUGGCCAAGAUUGUUAGUUUAGAAUAUAUGUAGUGCCAAAACAAUACACAUUGCACAAUUUCACCAUACAUACCCAUUUCUUAACCCAUUCUGGCUUCAUCAAACUCAACAGAAGUUGGUGACUCCAGUGGACUGUGAUGGACCUCACACUGGGCUGUGGCAGCUGAUGUCCUGCUCCUGGCUAUGGCCUGUUGCCCUCAAUCAGGCCAGGCUUUAGCCUGUCUUAUGGACAAACACAAGAUCCCUUUCCCCUUCACACUGCUGCUCCAUCAGUGGACCAACACCUGACAUGCACCAAUUUAAAUCAAGGUCUGACCUCUACAGGGAAGAAGUGUCUUCAAAAGAUGUGUCAGGACUGCCCAAAAUCAUGGCAAAAAGCAGUGAUGGAACCACUGACAUCACUUUGUGUCCCAAAAAGACAUGGAAUGUUGAGGUGGGUCUUGAAGAGCUUUUGGAGAAGGAGGAGAUGCCCAGCACUAUGCUCAUCCCUUGUUCAUCCCUAGGGACUGGCUUCCUGGCACAGAAAGAGACAGAAAAGCAGGACCAAUGCAAUCUGUGAGUCAGAACUUCAUGGUAAGGCUGAUAAUGUCUGAUAAAUUCAGGAGAAAUUCCACCUUUCUCCUGCCCAAGUCAGGCAGGUGGCUGCUGAUUCUGCAAAAAGGAAUGCCUGCAAAUU